rnacentral:lncRNA from 1 species
GCCAUUUAUUGUGUUUCAGAUUCAAGUCGAUCAACAUCACCAUUUCCAAAAUACGCUGAAUGUUUACCAAGCUGGGUAUAAAAGCGAGAUAAAUGGAUUGGACAAAACUCAGGAUGAUGAGUUGGAUGACACUGACAGGUAUUUAAUGAUAAUUUUGAUAAUUUAAGUCCACUACCCCUCCGUUCAAGAAAACAUCUAUGUUGAAAUUCGAAAAUAUGUACGCUUAAAAAAUUUGCACUCAGUGCAUGGUUCAUGGGGAAAUAUCCAAAGAAAUACAUCAUAUUGAGCAACAUAUGUGCGGAUUGUCGUAUCAAAUUAUUUUCAUGAAAUACCUUUCUAUAAAUCCGUUUGUCUGACAUAGUGAUCAGUCUAAAACCUGGAGACUGGUAAACGCGAGACUUAAAUCGCCAGGGUCACCUGCAGUAACAAUCAGUGUCACCACUUUCAGUAUGCGUCACAUCCGGUGAAUAUGAAAUGAGAUAUUCACCACACGAAAUACGCGUCCCAGCAUGUUAACACGAACUCAACAGACACAAAGAUCAUGAAGACAUGAACUAGAAUUGGCGGUACUGCAAAAAUCAUGAUUAUCGUUUUGGAAAUUAUCACGUACGAUAUCCGAUAAUAUCGCGAUGAAUGCAAUAUAUUAGUCUCCUGCGCAGACGUUGUUAGUGGCCGAGGCCCCACCUAACGUCUGCUCACAUUCGCUACACAUUUGACUUCCCGGCAAUUAACCAAUCACAAUCAUGUACACGAUAAUUGGAACAUCGACCUUCGCUGACCUUCACAUGCAUGGGCUAUUUAUAUCAACAAGUCUGUAGUAUUUUUACAUAUGAAAGUUUUAAUACUACGCAUCAGGCUUUUCAUUCUAUUAUAAACGAAAAGAAGGAUGUUUUCGUUAAUCUCACAACUGGCGCAGGAAAUCACUUAUUUAUCACGCCGUUACCGAACUUAUUCGAUGUAAUAUUCGGAUUUAAAUAUUUAAACAAAUUGUAAACGUGUAGACAUUUAGUAUUAAUGGUGGUUUUAUAUUAUAUGCAUUACCAAGCUGAUAAACAAUUUUUCAACAGAAGCUGCUAUUUAAGGCGAAGUGUGAGAAUUUAAGAUUAUUCUUUUAAAUUAAUAUUCAAUUUCACAAAUAGAUACAUGGUAUAAUAUUUAUACUUUGUAAAACUCUUUGCCUUGACGUUCUCUAAAAGGCGACAGUAAUUACCUUUUCCAAUUGGCCCGUCACCUACUGUAUGCGCUACAUCAUAGAUAAUUAAAGAUAAAAUUUAAAUAAACAGCUUUAAUAAAUUUACAUCAACAGAAAACCAAGGCGCUUUAUUGAAGCUAUGAAUUAUCACCCAGAAAUGGAGGUCAUACAAACAUGUGCUCUUUGAAAUUGUGGAGAAUAUUCUAAAUCAUUCUAAAAACAUUUUCUUACUUAUGCCCAAAACUAUUAUCAUAUAACAGAAGGGCAAGAGUAAGUAGCAUAGUACGUUUUUCAAAUUUUUCAUAAAAACAGUUCUUACACGUACAAACGGUUUGACCUCCUCCACACAAAUGGUUUGCCUCUCAACCNNNNNNNNNNNNNNNNNNNNCCCCCCCCCCCCCCCCUCCAAAGUUUGCGGCCUGAAAUGACGUUACUGGGUGAAGAGAUCAGAAUUUGGAAAAGGGUUGACGUUAAAAUUAGGUUUAAAUAUUUAGAUUGUUGUAUAAUAUAAUAUUCUUAUCAAGAUGGAAAUUUCCUCCAUUUGUCUGAAAGUUUAUCUUUUGUGUAAUAACAAUUUCUCUGUGGGCUCUCAUCAAUAACUUACCUCUCAAUCAACGCAUUUUAUAAUCCUGAAGCAAAUGGGAUGAGUAAGUUAUUCAGUUAUUACUUUCUUUUUCUACUCAUUCUUCCUCUUUUCUUCAACCAAUCAUGUCAUUUCCUUGUCUUCUUCUCUUGUUUGUUUGUUUGUUUGUUUGUUUGUUUGUUUGUUUGUUUGUUUGUUUGUUUGUUUGUUUGUUUGUUUGUUUGUUUGUUUGUUUGUUUGUUUGUUUGUUUGUUUGUUUGUUUGUUUGUUUGUUUGUUUUCCAUUCGUUUCGUUUCUUUUUUCGUUUUUUUUCUUUUUUCUUUUCUUUUCUUUUCUUCUUUCUUUUUGUUUUCUCUCAUGCUCUUCCACGCCCUUAAUUAAGUUAUUUUCCUUUCUCUCUUUUAUACCUAUAUGUAGCUAUGUACAAACCUACUUAAUUCGUAUAUUAUCUAUAUCAAUCACCUAACUUAAACUUGCGUAUAAAUAUGUGCCUAUCAAUCAACCCAUCACCAUGAAUGGUAUCUCAUUGAAGUUUGCUUGGAAAAAUAACUUCUUUCUGUGACCAGAACAAAACUGCGACGAAACAAAACAAUUUCUGCCAAUAUAUUCCGGUAUGCGUACAACAACGGUACAACAAAGCUUUUCUGUGAAAGAACAAUGAAAUGUUUUGUCAGUAUUACGUCAUGUGUUCAACUCGGCAAGAACGGUAAAAAGUUAACCUCCCAUUUCUAUUGCAGUGUAGUACAUCCAUUUCUCACUUCCUUCAUUUUUUGUUUUGUUUCUUUAUUUUUAUUCUUGCUUUCUGUCUAGUUAUUUGUUUUUUACGAUAACCUUACUGAAAUUUUUUAUUGUUUACCUUGCAGCUGUCUUGGCAGGAAUAUUACAACCACCUUUCUACAAACACGACAGGCUGAAGUAAUGCACUCUUUUGUUUUCAUUUACUUUUAUUGCAACUUUUAUUGUAACUUUUAACGUUGGCUCUUUUGUAUUUCAGGGCGUUGAAUUAUGGAUCUCUUGGUAUGGUUGUAGGCCAUGAAAUCACACAUGGCUUUGACAAGACAGGUGGGUGAUAAAUACAGGGGGUGAACGAGGGAGAUAUGAUAGGCAUGUUUUGUGAGUGCAUUCGUCAGAGAGCUACUGUAGCUCAAGAAAUAGUAAUUCGAGUGUUUCAGAAUCAUGUUGUGAUCAGCGUGCUCCAUAUAUAUCUGGAGCAAGAACUUCAGUCAUUUGGUCUAUGAGAAAAGUGAUGCCAAGAUAACGGCCAUUAACGUCCAAUAGCUAUUCAGUUCAUAAAACCAUAGUGUUAUUCUUUAAAUCGAUGUCAAAAUACGAAAUAUCGGCACACUCCUUGCCAAGAUGGCGGAAAUUGAAGGAGGUAUUGGACGUCAGUUCCAGUCCCUUUCUAUUGUUAUUGUCUGCGUGGUUUACACGAAACUAAGCUUCACUUUUCGGACUCGAGUUCUCGCUCCAAAUAUAUAUCGAGCUCACUGGUUGUAAUCAACAAAAACACAUUUCAUUAUUAAUUAAAUUUAAACAUUUAGAUGCAUGUAUAUACAAUAAGCGUGAUAGAUUGUAACUAUAGCUCAGGGGCGUAGGAAGCAGGGGGGCCGGGGGAGGCCCCCAAAUAUUUUAUAAGUGGGGUGGGAUAGAUUUCGCCCCCCCCCCCAAAAAAAAAAAAAUAUUGGAUUUAAAAAAAUAAUGAAAAAUUACUGCGAAAUUGUCGAAACUGGAAGUACUUGAAACGGUAUAUAUCAUAUUAAUAAUGUAUCCGCAAUUGUUUAUUGUUAUUCUAAUAGCAAAAUUUUUUGUCUAUUAAUAUUUGUUUACUUUUUGUCUUUUGUCAUUGGAUGUUUUCAGUCUAUGCUGCUUGUUAGGCAGCAGUAUUUACUUGCCCAAAUAGUUAUCAUCUAGGGCAGUCGCAAACGAUGAAGUAAAACAUUUAUAGCUUACAAAUCAUAAUGACAGAAUUUAAAAGGGCUGAACGAAAGUUUUAGAGAACACCCUACCCUGAAAAUGCCAUUUCCGACGAUCUGGAGAUUCAAAUUUUCGAAAUUUUUACAAGCUUCCUACGCCUUUGCUAUUGCUCAAAUAAUAGCAAUCUCUUACGUAAGGCAUUGUUAUCAUUUAUGCUAUGGUUACAACCAAUCAGAUUUAUUGUAUAUGUAUUUUCAAAGUUAAAUUUACUUAACAGUCCGUAAUAUAUUAAUUUGAUGUACUCUAAGUCCAACACGUUACCUCUAAAACUUGGACAUUUUUGCCAAAAUAGCUCUUCACGCAUAAUUUAUAAUUUUUAACAAUUUUUCUUGAAAGGCUGCUACGGCAAAAGAUCCAAGUUUUAGAGGUUGCGCGUUGGACUCAAUGCAUGUACAUCAAAUUGUCCGGGAAUUUGAUAUAGUUCAUGAAACACCUUCCAAAUUUACACCAUAUGAAUUCAAAUUGCUCUUCAAACCUUCCAUUUUUUGUGCGCAAGGCGUUUUUAAAGUGGUUUUAAAAAUCAGCACUGCUGCACUAGAAAAUUUGCCUCUAAUAAUUUUGUUAUAGAGAUGCAAGAACUCAAACUACCCGUACUAACAUAACGUUGUCAGCAUUUUUAAUUUUAGAACUGUGCACUUCUUUCUGAUACACUCUGCAUGUAUAACCGUUUAAACGUUACUUGUUUUAUUUCAUAUCCUGGGUUAUCAUUUUCCAUUUUCAUUUUUCAAGAUGUUUUCAUUUUUCAGAUUUUGUUUUAUAUUUUCUUUUCUUUAAUUGUGGGCUGGGUUAUGGUUUAAUAAUGAAUUCUAAACAACUUGAGUGAGGCAUGAAUACAUUAAUUUAUUAUAUAGCAAGUGCCAAAGUUCAAUUUUCCUGUUUGCCGAUUAGACAAACCGUAUCACAUGCCAGUCUACAAAACGUCAUGUUCAUUGCAUGCUUGUGGUGAGGGGAUAACCGGUCAACAAUAGACAGAUUUAGAUCGAGGACGCGGACGUCAAAGACGACGUGAAAAUGGCGUAAAAAUAGCGUGGCAUAUCCAUACACGGGCACAACGCGCCAUUUUCACGUCGUCUUUGACGUCCGCGUCCUCGAUAUAAAUCUCAUGUCUAAUAAAACAAUUGACGCGAGAGCUGUUUCAGCAUGUCUGCCGGUAGAUUUGCAAGUUGUACAAAAUACGAUAUAAAUAUAUUAUUAAUAAAAGAUAAAGAUAUUAAGGGGGUCUUCCACCCUAAAAACAUUUUUUUCAAUUUAAAGGUUUUAUCAUCAUAUUUGAGUCAAAUAUGAUGGAACAUCCUCAGCUGACGCAGGAUCAGUAACUUUUACAUUCGUCGUUGCCAUAGUAACUAAGAUAGGCCUCGCUAUAGGGUAAAAUAUAGGGUUUGCUCCAAAAAUGAUGUGAGCCAAACUAAUUUACCGAGGAUUUUAGAAACAGCUUUAAUGGAC